rnacentral:sRNA from 15 species
CCGCAGGCAACGACCCGAAGGGCGAAGCGCGCAGCGCUGAGUCAUCCUUCCCCCACCACCA